CAUGAAGUGGCUGUCUUUUGACAACUCCUAUGAAUUGAACGGAAGGUCUUGACCUUAGUAUGGCACUACUCAAGCUCUUCACUAUUUAACGGAGUGAAGUCAUACAGUAUUGGUCUCUCCGUGGCUGACUUAGAGAAAUCCUCUCUUCUCCCAAGUCAGACACCAGGACGUCAACUCCAGGAGCACAGCUGUGUUGCAAGAUGGCAGCAGGAGCACAUUCAGUCUCUUGUGGGGCGAACAGAAGUGUCGCGCAGCGCGCGUGUUUUCCAGGCCUCGUUCUUCUAAAGUGGACCCCCACAUUUCUAGAGAGAAAAAGGGAAAAAACAUGACGCAUGUCUGAAACUUGCUAUAAUUGUGAGUGACCGGACGAUGGAUGCUGCGGCCAGUCAGAGUGAUAAACUUACAGAUGUAAAGAACCCGACUGACAUCCAGCUGGCCUACCAGAACAAGACUGUAGAUUCAAAGAGGAACAUUUUAGGAGAGAAGGAAACUAAUUCCUACCAGUCCAAAAACCUGCUGUUGCUAUGAUAUGUAAUGGUUCUUUGACACUAAAAAGACUAAUACACCAGAAUCUGAGGGGUGAAUCAACUGUUUCGUGCUCUGCAAUGACUAAGGAUCGUGGCUGUACACACAAACACCUGUGAGAAUGCAC
rnacentral:lncRNA from 1 species